rnacentral:rRNA from 1 species
GUAGUUAGCCGGGGCUUCCUCACAGGGUACCGUCACUUCUUCGUCCCCUGCGACAGAGGUUUACAAUCCGAAAACCUUCUUCCCUCACGCGGCGUUGCUGGGUCAGGCUUGCGCCCAUUGCCCAAUAUUCCCCACUGCUGCCUCCCGUAGGAGUCUGGACCGUGUCUCAGUUCCAGUGUGGCCGAUCAGCCUCUCAGCUCGGCUACCCAUCGUCGGCUUGGUGGGCUGUUAUCUCACCAACUACCUAAUGGGACGCGAACCCCUCUUAUAGCGAUAAAUCUUUGACCCCUUCCCGAUGUCAGGUUGUGGUCUCAUGCGGUAUUAGCACUUGUUUCCAACUGUUAUCCCCCACUAUAAGGCAGGUUGUUCACGCGUUACUCACCCGUUCGCCACUCAAAUUAUAAAUUCCAUCCGAAAACUUCCUUUAUAAUCUCCGUUCGACUUGCAUGUGUUAGGCACGCCGCCAGCGUUCGUCCUGAGCCAGAAUCAAACUCUGA